GGGGCGGGAUGCGGAGCCGGGAGCUGCGGGACGGCCCCGGAGAGUGCGGGAGGAAGUUUGCUGAGCCGCUGCUGCACGAGCACUGGAACAAAAACAACGCAGAGCUCCGAGAGGCGGAGUCAGAGCUGCACAGGAAGCACGUGAGAGAGGCUUGGGGUGACCAGCUAACACAAAACAAGGAAGAGGUGACCAAAGUUGAAGAGAAGAAACAUUAUGAAAAUGAGUACAAAACGGCACAAGGGGAAGCGCUGGAAAGAACGAGACAAGAGGAAGAGAAGCAUCAGCUGGAGAAGCAGCAAGCAGAGACACUGCUUCAGCAAAUAGAAGAACUGAAAUUGCAGGAGACAAAGGCAACAAAGCUGAAAAAGGAACAAGAGAAUUUAUUAAAGCAGCAGUGGGAGCUGGAGAAUUUGGAAGAAGAAAGGAAACAAAUGGAAGAGCACCGGAGAAAAAAAGAGCUUGGUCGCUUUUUGAGGCAUCAGUGUGAUGUCCAGUUAAGGAGACGGGCACAGCAGAUACAGGAGGAGCUGGAGACAGACAGGCAAAUCUUAUCAGCCCUCCUGGAGAAAGAAGAUGAGGAUCAGCACUGGCAGAUCACACGACGGGAACGGGCCGUGGCAGACGUGGCCUGGAUGAAGAAGGUCAUCGAGGAACAGCUCCAGCUGGAAAAGGAGAGGGAAGCAGAGCUUGAGACUAUCUUCAGGGAAGAAACAAAAAAAAUAUGGGAGAAGAGGGAAGAAGAAUGGGAAAGAGAGAAGGUGGCCAGAGAUCGCCUGAUGAGUGAGGUCCUUGCAGGCAGACAGCGCCAGAUCCAAGAGAAGAUGAAGUUAAACAGAAGGGCCCAAGAAGAGUCCAUUAAGUAUCGAGAGCAGCUGAUCAGAGAACUCGAGGAGGCAAAGGAAGGGACUCGUCAGGAGAAGGAGCAGGAAGAGGAACAGCAGAGAGCCCGCAGGAGGGAGCUGCAGGCACAGGUAGGCUGAGCUCCCAAUACACACCUGGCUGCUGAGACUGCCCCAUCUCACCCGAUUUCCCCUGCACAGGGGACAGAGCACAGCCUGAGAGAGGAGGAGGGACAGCAGGAGGGAUCAGCCCAGCAGCCCCUCGAGGAGCUGGAGCAGCAGGAGGGCGAGCAGGGCUGGCACAGCAGGUUCUACAGUUCCCCAAGAGCAGCUUGGACCUGAGGAAUGAGCACGAGAUGAAGCUCCAGACUACAGAAAGAAAACUCUGAGGACUCAAGGAACUCCUGAAAUAAUGGUGCCUCUGGAAUAGCCCACAGUGAGCUCAGGACUUGACUGAGCAGAUUUCUGGAAACAUUUAGUUGUGGCCAAGCUGAAGAGGAGAAAAGUUCUACUGUCUUCAGGAACAUGGAGGUUGUGGCACCUUCAGAGGAGUGAGCUGCUUCACUUUGCAUUCUGGAGUUUUAGUACAUGAGAGGCUGAAGCAACCCAGUAAAUAAAAGGGACCUGUGGACCUGAGCCACAAAGGAAUCUGUGUCUCCUCAGAAACAGGAGCUGAGAAACACCACAGGCUGUGUCAGACUCCCACCUUAGAGAAUCAGGCUGUGCCUGUGGUUCCACUGGACUUUUAGGAGUUAAUUCAUAAUGCACAUUGCAAAUCAGUCAGGUCAUGGGUGCUGUGGCAGCAGUGCUUGUCCAAUUCCUCUCCAGAAGGUCCUGGAGAUUUCAUGAAAUGUUGUUUUUCACUUGUUUAAUAAAUAAUGAAUAACUGAAA